ensembl:snRNA U6 U6 spliceosomal RNA
GCACUGGCUUCAGAAAUACAUCUGCUAAAACUGGAAGGAUGUGCAGAAGAUAAGCAUGGUGCCUGGGAAAGGAUGACGUGCAAAUUCGUGAAGUGGUCCGCAUUAAG